rnacentral:rRNA from 1 species
UACGUAGGGUGCGAGCGUUAAUCGGAAUUACUGGGCGUAAAGCGUGCGCAGGCGGUUUCACAAGCUCGAUGUGAAAGCCCCGGGCUUAACCUGGGAAUGGCAUUGAGGACUGUGGAGCUCGAGUGCGGCAGAGGGAGGUGGAAUUCCACGUGUAGCAGUGAAAUGCGUAGAGAUGUGGAGGAACACCGAUGGCGAAGGCAGCCUCCUGGGCCGACACUGACGCUCAUGCACGAAAGCGUGGGAGCAAACAGGA